rnacentral:rRNA from 1 species
CAGCAGCCGCGGUAAUACGAAGGGUGCAAGCGUUGUUCGGAAUUACUGGGCGUAAAGCGCACGUAGGCGGCUUGGUAAGUUAGAGGUGAAAGCCUGGAGCUCAACUCCAGAAUUGCCUUUAAGACUGCCGAGCUAGCAGGUGAGAGAGGUAAGUGGAAUUCCGGGUGUAGAGGUGAAAUUCGUAGAUAUUCGGAAGAACACCAGUGGCGAAGGCGGCUUACUGGCUCAUACUGGACGCUGAGGUGCGAAAGCGUGGGGAGCAAACAGGAUUAGAUACCCCCGUAGUCCCUGUCUCUUAUAC